rnacentral:rRNA from 1 species
UAGGGAAUAUUGGUCAAUGGCCGAGAGGCUGAACCAGCCAAGUCGCGUGAAGGACGAAGGAUCUAUGGUUUGUAAACUUCUUUAUAGGGAGUAAAGAUGCAGCACGUGUGCUGUUUUGUAUGUACCUAUGAAUAAGCAUCGGCUAACUCCGUGCCAGCAGCCGCGGUAAUACGGAGGAUGCGAGCGUUAUCCGGAUUUAUUGGGUUUAAAGGGUGCGUAGGUGGCAGCUUAAGUCAGCGGUGAAAGUUUGUGGCUCAACCAUAAAGUUGCCGUUGAAACUGGGUAGCUUGAGUAUGUUUGAGGUAGGCGGAAUGUGUGGUGUAGCGGUGAAAUGCAUAGAUAUCACGCAGAACUCCAAUUGCGAAGGCAGCUUACUAAACCAUAACUGACACUGAAGCACGAAAGCGUGGGGAUCAAACAGGAUUAGAUACC